GACGAACGCUGGCGGCGUGCCUAAUACAUGCAAGUCGAACGAAGCUGUUUUAACUGGUGCUUGCACCGACUUAAACAACUGAGUGGCGAACGGGUGAGUAACACGUGGGUAACCUGCCCCAAAGCGGGGGAUAACAUUUGGAAACAGAUGCUAAUACCGCAUAACCACAGAAACCACGUGGUUUCUGUGUCAAAGAUGGUUUCGGCUAUCACUUUGGGAUGGACCGGCGGCGUAUUAGCUAGUUGGUAAGGUAAUGGCUUACCAAGGAAAUGAUACGUAGCCGAACUGAGAGGUUGAUCGGCCACAUUGGGACUGAGACACGGCCCAAACUCCUACGGGAGGCAGCAGUAGGGAAUCUUCCACAAUGGACGAAAGUCUGAUGGAGCAACGCCGCGUGAGUGAAGAAGGUUUUCGGAUCGUAAAACUCUGUUGUCAGAGAAGAACGUGUGCGAGAGUAACUGCUCGUGCAGUGACGGUAUCUGGCCAGAAAGCCACGGCUAACUACGUGCCAGCAGCCGCCGUAA
rnacentral:rRNA from 1 species